rnacentral:rRNA from 1 species
UACGGGGAGGCAGCAGUGGGGAAUAUUGCACAAUGGGGGAAACCCUGAUGCAGCCAUGCCGCGUGUGUGAAGAAGGCCUUCGGGUUGUUAAAGCACUUUCAGUAGGGAGGAAGGUAGUGUAGUUAACACCUGCAUUAUUUGACGUUACCUACAGAAGAAGCACCGGCUAACUCCGUGCCAGCAGCCGCGGUAAUACGGAGGGUGCGAGCGUUAAUCGGAAUUACUGGGCGUAAAGCGCAUGCAGGCGGCCUGUUAAGUCAGAUGUGAAAGCCCGGGGCUUAACCUCGGAAUUGCAUUUGAAACUGGCAGGCUAGAGUCUUGUAGAGGGGGGUAGGAAUUUCAGGUGUAGCGGUGAAAUGCGUAGAGAUCUGAAGGAAUACCAGUGGCGAAGGCGGCCCCCUGGACAAAGACUGACGCUCAGAUGCGAAAGCGUGGGGAGCAAACAGGAUUAGAUACCCUGGUAG